rnacentral:rRNA from 1 species
GUCGAGAAUAAUUCACAAUGGACGAAAGUCUGAUGGUGCAACGCCGCGUGGAGGAUGACGGUCUUCGGAUUGUAAACUCCUGUCAUCCGGGAGUAAGACCUGGCUGUGAAUAGCAGACAGGGUUGAUAGUACCGGAAGAGGAAGGGACGGCUAACUUCGUGCCAGCAGCCGCGGUAAUACGAAGGUCCCGAGCGUUGUUCGGAAUCACUGGGCGUAAAGGGAGCGUAGGCGGCGUGGUAAGUCAGAUGUGAAAUCCCGGGGCUCAACCCCGGAACUGCAUCCGAUACUGCCGUGCUAGAGGAUUGGAGAGGUAGCUGGAAUUCUUGGUGUAGCAGUGAAAUGCGUGGAGAUCAAAAGGAACACUCGUGGCGAAAGCGAGCUACUGGACAAUAUCUGACGCUGAGGCUCGAAGGCCAGGGUAGCGAAAGGGAUUAGAAACCCCGGUAGUCC